UCGGGAAUAUUGCACAAUGGAGGAAACUCUGAUGCAGUGACGCCGCGUGCAGGAAGAAGGUUUUCGGAUUGUAAACUGCUUUAGACAGGGAAGAAACAAGACAGUACCUGUAGAAUAAGCUCCGGCUAACUACGUGCCAGCAGCCGCGGUAAUACGUAGGGAGCAAGCGUUAUCCGGAUUUAUUGGGUGUAAAGGGUGCGUAGACGGGAAAUUAAGUUAGUUGUGAAAUCCCUCGGCUUAACUGAGGAACUGCAACUAAAACUGAUUUUCUUGAGUGUUGGAGAGGAAAGUGGAAUUCCUAGUGUAGCGGUGAAAUGCGUAGAUAUUAGGAGGAACACCAGUGGCGAAGGCGACUUUCUGGACAAUAACUGACGUUGAGGCACGAAAGUGUGGGGAGCAAACAGGAUUAGAUACC
rnacentral:rRNA from 1 species